rnacentral:tRNA from 1 species
UGAUCUAUGGUGUAAUGGUAGCACGACAGCCUCUGGAGCUGUUUGUCUUGGUUCGAGUCCAGGUAGGUCAA